rnacentral:RNase_P_RNA from 7 species
CCUUGUAAAUGAGGCAACUACUGUGGGGCAACCCACAGAGGAAAGUCCGAGCACUUACCGCUUCAAUGGAGCGGACGAGUAGUGGGUAAUUCCCAUCUGGAGUGAUCCAAGAGGUGCGAGCAGAAACGUCCUGAACCGAAAGGUGAAGGAAAGCCCAGUCCUAACGUAGUUGGCUUAGCUCUGCCAUAAGGAUAAAAAAGCAGAGAUGAAACGGCUAAACCCUUACUUGAGUGCAAGGUCAGCGUUUUCUUGAUAAGUUGAGGCUUGUCCUUAGCUUGUUGAAGGAUUCGAAAAGUUAGACCGCUAUAGGUCGGUAGUGAUAUCGAUCACAGAUAAAUUGUUGCCAUCCCGAAAGGGAUAACAGAACUCGGCUUACGUUUUACAAGGCCGA